AUUAUUAUUAUUUUUAUAUACAACUGAAUAUAUUAUUAAUGCUUCUGUUACAAUGACAUUUGAGCUUGUCUUAUCUUUUUGUUUUUGGUGUUCCUCUUUAUUUGGAUAUUUUUUUUAUAUGUUCUUUGAAUAUCAAAUUUGUUCCUGGACACGAUUUGACAGCCUCAUGGUCUGCUACGUGUUAUAUAUAUCUAUGGAACCUUCCACAUCUGUCCAUCCUUCCCUCUUUGGUUCUGUUUGUGGUGAAAAUGGAACCUCGUUACAAAACUAAAAAACCAAAAACAAAAUGCAAAACAAAUAAAUUUUAAUUCAUCAAUGUUGUGUGCAAUGGAAUUCUCUCACAAUUUAAUUUAGUACCAAAUGCCCCUAAAAUUGAAGGUGGGUGAUGAAGUGCAGAUUCGCCAAUUGUUGUAAGUGCGUCCAAAUGGAGCCGAGUCUUCGUUUGUGUCAUCGUGAAAAUGGUAAGAUAGCUCCCUUAAGGUGGUCACCGGUGCGAUGCCUACCACAACGUCUCCGAUGCCAAAUUUAGUAUAAAAAAGCUUUUAGGAAAUAACAGAGUGUCAGAAUAACUAGUAGUACUUUUAAGUGUGUCUAUGUACCUUGUAUUGUUGCUAUGAGGGCUUUAUAUAUGUUUCCACAGCCCCUAGCCGUUGUGGUUGUUAAUGUGGUUUUAAUGCCUCUCUUGGUAACACCUCAUUCUUAAUAAUGUGAUUUUUAAUAAGACUUCCAACGGUCUAUAUAGCUGGUCUUGUAACCGUUCGGGACAUUAUUGGUUGCAUUGAAUGGCUUUGUUACUCUCGUCAAAGAUAUGGACAUGUGGUUAGCUUGUCUCAGAGGACGGCCUCGUUGGUCUUGAUGAGAUCGUUUAGUUGAGUUCGUCAGUCCCAUCAACUGCCCCCAAAUUCUGUGGUCUUCGUGACAUGUUAUGACGAUCAUAGAAGAUGAAAGGUCCUUGGGCUGUACAUGACUCUUGGGAUUUCGUUCCACAUUAAAUGCGUAGUGGCGGCGCCACACGCGUUGUGGCCAUGUGACACGUUCUGAUCAGUGGAGUUAAUGCUCCAAUUUGUAUGACUCUUGGGUUUCCCGCUGAAUUUCAGUUUUUUGAGCCUUGGUUUUUAAACUUCUCCUCUUCUCACUUUCCCUUUCACUUUUCCCAAACUCCCAAUCAUUGCUCUGAGUAUAUUCUUCUCCAACCUUUCUCUGCAAUUCUUCUCCAAGCUGGUGCGUGGCGUGGUUGAGCUUCCUACAUUUCCCUUUUUGAGGUACGCUUUUCUCCCUCUUUCUUGCUUCUUUUCUUUUCUGUUGUGAUAAACUUUUGGUUUUUUCUUUCUCUUCUUUUUUGGCGUUUGUUCUUGGUUUUUUGGGGAUUUAGCAUUCAUCUCUUUCCCUCUAUGUGUUUUUUCUGGUUUUCACGGUCAGUAGUUCUGAGGUUAAGGUAGUAUGCCCCUUAGUUUCCUUUUUGUUUGCUCGUUUGGGGGCUUCCUUAGAUACUUCCCGUGCUUUUCUCCCUUCGGUUGGGAAUUUUGUUUUUGAGGGUUGUGGGUUAGGUGUUGUAUUGGGUGAGUUGUUCCUUAUGCUUAGCCAAUCAGUCAAUUGGUUUGGGGGUUUGGUAGUAAAGGAGAAGAAGAGAAUGUUUGAAGUAAGAUCCAGUGAGCUUGAGACUGGGUUGUCUUCUAACGACGACCUAGUGGGGGGAGAUACCGCUGUCUCUACCCCUCGAGAGGUUAGGGCUUUUCACGCCCUUGAGGAGGUGUUUGGGCUGGACGGCGAGACACUUGGUAGGUUUAAGGAUAGGUUUCAGUUCUUGGAGAGGGUUAGGGUUCGUUUACCCGGAGAGGAGGAACGGGCUUGCCAUUUCUUUCCUGAGGAGGUAUGCUUUUACGAGGCUGCCUUCUUGUGUGGGUUGAGGUUCCCCAUCCAUCCAUUUCUUAUGGAGUUGUUAGAUCGCUUUGGUAUUGCUCUUGGGCAACUUAUGCCCAAUUCAUGGAGGAUAGUGGUCAGUUGUAUGGGGAUAUGGCUGGCCGCUACAGAUGGGGACAUGAUUAAGGUAGAUGAGCUCAUCUACUUAUACCGUUUAAAGGAGUCCAAGGAGCACGGGUAUUAUGAGUUGGUGCCCUGGGAGAGGAGGACUAGGAUCGUCAGAGGUCUACCUUCGUCCUUUAGGUAUUGGAAGUCCCAGUUCUUUUUUGUAUCCGGGGAUGACUUUGAGACCCCCUCCAACAAGGUUUGGGGUGAUCUCCCAAGGUUGCUCCGUUGGUGGGGAACCCCAUGCUUAGUUAAGAGAAGACCCAAGCUUAAAAGCAGGCACAAGGAACGUGUUGAGAAGGCAAUUGAAUACGCAAAGAUGAUUGAGGAUUGGGACUAUCUUGUGGACCCAUAGACUCUCGCCUUCUAUUGCCUUAGUCCCAACCCGUCUACCUUUGUUCUACACAAUAUCGAGAUUGAGGAGAAAAAGAGUAAGUGCUAAGCUCGUCCGUGUUGAUCUUCUUGGAUAUACAUACAUACAUAUAUAUAUAUAUAUAUAUAUAUAUUACAAGUGUUCUCCUCUUACGGGAAUGACGACUAAGUUUAACUAAGACAUGUACGCGAAAAUGAGGACGAAAAAGAAUGAGCCACUGUCCACUCUCGGGAAGAGGACAGUGCGCGUUACAGGGAAGGGCCCCAUUACUCCAGGUGUCUAAGUGGCUCCAAUUGUCCUGGGUACUGAGACGGUGAGGACAACCUCUCCAGCCACUUCGGUUGAAGAGAUUCCUACUCUUAUCUCUAAGAGGCCACGCGUGGCUGACAAAAAGAAGGAGAAGGCUAGUUCCCGUUCGUCUAGUGUUUGGGACGAUGUUGAACUUUUAAUGGAAAGGGUGCACGAGGUCAUCACUACUGAGGACCAGAAGGUUUUCUUGGGUGUGCCUUCUAAUGAGGUUAUGACCCGGCAUGUCCACAAACUCGUUCAGGUGCUGGGGGAGAGCCUUCACAUCAUUACGGAGUACCUCACUCAGGAAGCCAAGGUCGCGUCUCUGAUGUCCAGGAUGGAGGCUCUGGAGGCGAAGAACUCCAAGCUGAAGAAGGACCUGAUUAUUGCUAUGGAAGAGGCCAACACCUCUAAGGAAAAAGCCAAGACCUUAAGCGACGACCUCAGAGCCGAGUGGCAGCUGACUCUGGAAAAAGAUGAACAACUUUUGGCUGGUAAGGCUGUUGAGGCUUUCUAGUAGACUGACGAGUACAACACAGUACUCUUCAGUUGGUAUUUCAAGGGUUUGAGCUUCUGAGAAGGUACUUCGACAAGCAUCCCACUGGGGUAGAUCUAUAAAAUUUGGAUUUGGAAGAGGUGGAUAAAGAGAUGGCAAUUGACGAAGCCUCCCAGUCCUCGGCUUCUGAGCAUGAUGCUCCUAAGAGUGCUCCUAUCGGUGGUGACACUGCUGCCAGUGCCUGAACCUGUUAUUUUUCCUUUGUAAUCUUUCUUUCUCUUUUUUUUUUUAAGUGCUCAGUGUGUUUUGGGCUUUUUAAUUCUAUUUUGAGAACAAUAUUCUAAUUUGAGAACAACCUCACCUAGUGUUUAUGGGUUUAUAAUGAUAACACAAUGCUGGUUGCCCGCUGUC